rnacentral:rRNA from 1 species
UACGAAGGGGGCUAGCGUUGCUCGGAUUUACUGGGCGUAAAGGGCACGUAGGCGGACAUUUAAGUCGGGGGUGAAAGCCCGGGGCUCAACCUCGGAAUUGCCUUCGAUACUGGAUGUCUUGAGUAUGAGAGAGGUGUGUGGAACUCCGAGUGUAGAGGUGAAAUUCGUAGAUAUUCGGAAGAACACCAGUGGCGAAGGCGACACACUGGCUCAUUACUGACGCUGAGGCGCGAAAGCGUGGGGAGCAAACAGG